CAGUAGCCGCGGGAAUACGGAGGAUCCAAGCGUUAUCCGGAAUCAUUGGGUUUAAAGGGUCCGUAGGCGGUCUUGUAAGUCAGUGGUGAAAGCCCAUCGCUCAACGGUGGAACGGCCAUUGAUACUGCAGGACUUGAAUUAUUGGGAAGUAACUAGAAUAUGUAGUGUAGCGGUGAAAUGCUUAGAGAUUACAUGGAAUACCAAUUGCGAAGGCAGGUUACUACCAAUUGAUUGACGCUGAUGGACGAAAGCGUGGGUAGCGAACAGGAUUAGAUACCCCAGUAGUCCUGUCUCUUAUACA
rnacentral:rRNA from 1 species